rnacentral:misc_RNA from 1 species
UUUCCGUAGGUGAACCUGCGGAAGGAUCAUUAAUGGAUUUUCAACAAAAGGGGUCGAGGAAUAGUGCUGGCCUUUUUGGCAAGUGCACAUCCUUUUCCCUGAUUAUCCUCUUCUUUACCACUGUGAACCUUUAGUAGGGCUGGAAACGGCUCUAUGUUUUUUUACACACCACGUAUAACCUUUGAAUGUCCCUUUUCACUUUCAAGUAUGCUCGAGAGCAGAAAGAAAAUGAAAUAAAAAAUAAUAAUACAACUUUCAACAACGGAUCUCUUGGCUCUC